rnacentral:rRNA from 1 species
GUCCCAUUAGUUAGUUGGUGUGGUAACGGCACACCAAGACGAUGAUGGGUAGGGGUCCUGAGAGGGAGAUCCCCCACACUGGUACUGAGACACGGACCAGACUCCUACGGGAGGCAGCAGUGAGGAAUAUUGGUCAAUGGAGGCAACUCUGAACCAGCCAUGCCGCGCGCAGGAUGACGGUCCUAUGGAUUGUAAACUGCUUUUGUACAGGAAGAAAAAGAGUUACGUGUAGCUUAUUGACGGUACUGUAAGAAUAAGGAUCGGCUAACUCCGUGCCAGCAGCCGCGGUAAUACGGAGGAUCCAAGCGUUAUCCGGAAUCAUUGGGUUUAAAGGGUCCGUAGGCGGCCUUAUAAGUCAGCGGUGAAAGUUUUUGGCUUAACCAAAAAAUUGCCGUUGAUACUGUAGGGCUUGAAUUUUUGUGAAGUAACUAGAAUAUGUAGUGUAGCGGUGAAAUGCUUAGAUAUUACAUGGAAUACCAAUUGCGAAGGCAGGUUACUAA